ACAGCAAGGAUACCUGGAGAAGGAGCUCUCUCUCUGUUCUGUCCAUGUGGUGCAUGGGAGCAUAGGACCUCAGGCCCAAGACAUGUAUUCCCCUUCCACAUUGUUGGAGAACACGCCAGGCCUUGUGCAUGCAGCCUGCAUGUUCCUACUGCUUAUCUGAGCCUUUGGGCAGUGACAAAAGAGAUAAACCAUGCAGUAUUAUUAA
rnacentral:snoRNA from 1 species